rnacentral:rRNA from 1 species
UGGGGAAUUUUGGACAAUGGGCGCAAGCCUGAUCCAGCCAUGCCGCGUGCGGGAAGAAGGCCUUCGGGUUGUAAACCGCUUUUGUCAGGGAAGAAAUCUUCUGAGUUAAUACCUCAGGAGGAUGACGUACCUGAAGAAUAAGCACCGGCUAACUACGUGCCGGCAGCCGCGGUAAUACGUAGGGUGCAAGCGUUAAUCGGAAUUACUGGGCGUAAAGCGUGCGCAGGCGGUUUUGUAAGACAGAGGUGAAAUCCCCGGGCUCAACCUGGGAACUGCCUUUGUGACUGCAAGGCUUGAGUGCGGCAGAGGGGGAUGGAAUUCCGCGUGUAGCAGUGAAAUGCGUAGAUAUGCGGAGGAACACCGAUGGCGAAGGCAAUCCCCUGGGCCUGCACUGACGCUCAUGCACGAAAGCGUGGGGAGCAAACAGGAUUAGAUACCCUGGUAGUCCACGCCCUAAACGAUGUCAACUGGUUGUUGGGAAGGUUCCUUCUCAGUAACGUAGCUAACGCGUGAAGUUGACCGCCUGGGGAGUACGGCCGCAAGGUUG